UACGGGGGGAGCAAGCGUUGUUCGGAUUUACUGGGCGUAAAGGGCGCGUAGGCGGUCAGCACAAGUCAGUUGUGAAAUCUCCGGGCUUAACUCGGAAAGGUCAACUGAUACUGUGCGACUAGAGUGCGGAAGGGGCAACUGGAAUUCUCGGUGUAGCGGUGAAAUGCGUAGAUAUCGAGAGGAACCCCCGCGGCCAAGGCGGGUAGCCGGGCCGACACUGACGCUGAGGCGCGAAAGCCAGGGGAGCGAACGGG
rnacentral:rRNA from 1 species